GACGAACGCUGGCGGCGUGCUUAACACAUGCAAGUCGAGCGGUAAGGCCCUUUCGGGGGUACACGAGCGGCGAACGGGUGAGUAACACGUGGGUGACCUGCCCUCAGCUCUGGGAUAAGCCCGGGAAACUGGGUCUAAUACCGGAUAUGACUCCAUGACGCAUGUUGUGGGGUGGAAAGCCUUGUGCGGCUGAGGAUGGGCCCGCGGCCUAUCAGCUUGUUGGUGGGGUGANGGCCUACCAAGGCGACGACGGGUAGCCGGCCUGAGAGGGCGACCGGCCACACUGGGACUGAGACACGGCCCAGACUCCUACGGGAGGCAGCA
rnacentral:rRNA from 1 species